CCAGGAGUGGCAGAGGAUGAAAAAAGUCUGUACAAUUGGGUGAAAAAUCCCCAUCAGAGCUUGUGUGCUAGUUGAAAAUGCACCCCAGCUACAGCUGGUUGUUCCUGGAAGAAUUGAUGGAGACAUUUGGUCUUCGUGUGGGUCUGUCUGUACUUUUAUGUCCUGAGAAGGUAAGUGUCUGCUUGAGAUGCUGGGGAGCAUGGGUG
rnacentral:lncRNA from 12 species